UACGUAGGGUGCAAGCGUUGUCCGGAAUCAUUGGGCGUAAAGAGCGUGUAGGCGGCCCGGUAAGUCCGCUGUGAAAGUCGGGGGCUCAACCCUCGAAUGCCGGUGGAUACUGUCGGGCUAGAGUGCGGAAGAGGCGAGUGGAAUUCCUGGUGUAGCGGUGAAAUGCGCAGAUAUCAGGAGGAACACCGAUUGCGAAGGCAGCUCGCUGGGACGUAACUGACGCUGAGACGCGAAAGCGUGGGGAGCAAACGGG
rnacentral:rRNA from 1 species